rnacentral:rRNA from 1 species
UACAGAGGUCUCAAGCGUUGUUCGGAUUUAUUGGGCGUAAAGCGUGCGUAGGCGGCGGGGUAAGUGAGGUGUGAAAUCCCGGAGCUUAACUCCGGAACUGCACUUUAUACUGCCUUGCUCGAGGGCUGGAGAGGAGACUGGAAUUUACGGUGUAGCAGUGAAAUGCGUAGAGAUCGUAAGGAAGACCAGUGGCGAAAGGCGAGUGCUCUGGGAAAGCUGCUG